UCAAAAAGCAUUAAUCUUCUUCCUCCCACCUUCUUUAACCUAAAACGCUUAUCUCAUCCUGUAACCCUUACCGAUCAAUCGAUCCUCACUCUUACCUGAAAAAUGACUCAACUCCCCUCAAAUCGCCUUCACGAGUCUACCUUUGACCAUCACACAUCAACAGGUGUGUGGCGUGUUGCUUCUGUCAGCCUUCACCCGUAUCGUAUUCUUCAUCGCAACUGUGGCAACCGUUCUACACCUGGGCAAUCGGCUCUCCUGGAUUACUUCGACUACAAUCACCUCCAUCACCUUCCAAUCGACCUCUCUUGUAAGUCUAAAGUGAAAGGUUUGAAGAUGCAUACCAAUUGCUCGAUGAAAUGCAUCAACCAAAAUACUUUCUAUUUCACACGUCUUACUAGAUAAAUGGUUAUCUGUCAUUUUUUUUAUGAAACUUGUGUUUAGCAUGUGUGGGCCUCUAAUAAAAUAAACCUGGGAUUAUGAUCUUAUAUGGAAAAUUUUGUACAGACCCCAACUCUAACAUUGUCCAAGACUUAUUCUGGUUUAAAGAAUUCAAUAAAGUUUAGUAAUUGAACCUCCUGAUCCUAAAAUAACUUGCAUCAAGAGUGGAUGUCGACUGAAAUCUUUCUAAUUAGGAGGAGGAACUUGCCUGUGCUGAAAGAUCUCCAAUGCCUUGGAAUCUUCUAUAUUGUAACAUCAAAUGAAUAAACAAAAACUUGUGUAGUUGCUAUUCGGCACCCUGUAGGCUUUUGUAUUAACCAUAUAUUAAUUGAGAUUAAAAAUGUUUUACUUGGCUGAUUGUUAAUGAUUACCUUUGAAGUCUUCUGUAGACAUUGGAAAUAGUCAGGUGCAAACUAAGAAGUUUUUUAUGGAUCCAACAAUGGUUGUUUACUCCAGUGGUUAUAUUUCGACCCCUUAUUAUUAUGGAGGUAAUUGGUACUAUAAUAUUGACUGUUAGCAUAAUUUUUAAAGAAACUAUAGCCAUGCUUAGCGGAUCCAGUUUGUUAAUUAUGUAUCUGUUUUAGGUAAUGAUGGGAUUACGAGUGAUUGGGCGUGACUACUCUAGAUAUGUAAAUCAUAAUGGAGUUAGUUUGGCUCAUCUAAGAACUUGUAACAUCGUUUUUCAUCAAUCAUCCUAUUUGCGUUUUUUUAAACUAGUUUUCAUGGCUUUAAUACAGGGUGUAUAUCGUUAUGGUGCCCAAACUUGCUAAUACACUAGUUUUUAUUUCCAGCAUUUGACUUCAAACCGUGGUCUAUAGUGUGCUAAUGUCAUCGCUUCUAAGGGUGAGAUCACAACACCUGCAGCUAUGGGCCAACAGCCUUUGACUGCUAGCACAAUUAAAGCAAUCUCUUUUAAAGAUGUACUUAAUUGUGUCAUUAGGAUGUGCAUGCCUUUAAUGGUUGAGGUUGGUUUGAUGCAAUUUUUAACUUCCCUUUGGAAACAAUCCCGUUAAAGCAGGUAUUUUUUUUCCAGCAGAAUCUUUUUUUCUUUUAAUCCUAUAAUUGUUGUCAUUUUUUAUUAUUCCAGUUCGCUAGCAAAUUUUGAUCCAAUUACUUUGAGUUGAUUUGUUCUGCACUAUAUUCUAUAUCUCUACAGUGGAACGAGCUCACUUUAGAAAUUAAUGUAGCUGGUCAAUUGGGUCAAAGUACCAAAGUUUUUUAUACUCUUAUGCCUCUUUUUUUUUUUAUUUGAACGGCAAGGAACGACGUGCCAACCACCGUGGCACCGGGCGUUGUGGCCAAUAAGUAGUUGAGUAUAGUCAGUUGGCUGAUUUAAUGACAAUAAGUAGUAAGUGCUGGGAACUAUGAAGUGGAAGUAUGACUACUAAGAAAACGUUAACACGAUGAUUAUUUAACUCGCAUGAAGAUUGUGAAAGAGAUUCAUGAACACAAUGAAGUUUUGAGUUUUUAUUCAUACACUUGUUAGUUUAUUUGGGUGAUAUGUUUGAUCAUUAGACUUAGAUCGACACUUAUUAGACAUUUGGAAUCUUUGGAAGAUUGAUUGAACUUUUAAUUGAAGUGAUUAUUUUAUGAUUUCUACA